UCGGGAAGUGAAGAGUGCCAUGUGUUUGGGCAGGCCUACUCUAAUGUUGUGCCCAAGGUUCCCACCACUUCCUUCCGAGACCAGGUGUUGGAGGAGGGGAGGCAGAUCCAGCCUUGGCGUUGCUGUGUCCCGUAAGAGCGCUACACAUAUACGUGGACCGCACCCAGAGCUUCAGAAGCUCUAAGCAGCUCCUUGUCUGCUUUGGAGGUCAGCAGAAAGGGAAGGCUGUCUCCAGGAAGAGGUUGGGCCACUGGAUAGUGGAUGCCAUCGCCUUGGAGUACCAAUCCCAAGGCGAGCUGUGCCCCCUGGGGGUGAGAGCCCACUCCACUCAGAGUGUUGCCUCCUCCUGGGCGCUGGCGCAUGGGUUUUACAACCUUCGUGUAGAGCCAGUUUCUUCCUGUUUGUUGGGUAACAGGUAAGUGGCGGGCAGGACUUGCUCUGUGUCAUGCUUGCUGCGCCAUUCCCCCUCACACGGGGAUGCGAGCGCCUUUCUUCUCCCAGCAGAGUUCCCCGGUUGGCGAACCCUGGUCGAGCAUCCCCCUUGGCGGAGCAGUCUGACGCCAGGCCCAGUACUGGUGUUAGCACUCCUGGAGUUCCGGUCAGCCCUUGUUCUGGGCUAGAUGUCCAUAUGGUUUGAUUCCCUACGGGUAAUCCCAUAUGUGUAUUCUUCCACGGUAAGACCCGCUCUGUCAGUCUCUUCUGGCAGAUGUUCCAUCCCUACUCUAAGGUAGGACCUGCCUCAGAGACCCAUUCCAUAUGUAGUACUGCCCCCUGGGUCACCUCCCUACGGGUAGGAUGUGGUCUCCGUAGCGACCUCUUCCCUUAAGGCUCACUUUCCCAUCGUUCUACCAGGCUGAAAGAACAAAUAGGAAAGAUUUGAAGCAAUCUUUCAGUGAAGGUUAAAAUCCCUUCCAAAAAACUUUUUUGUUCCCCUUCGGUACCAAGGUCAGUGAAUUUGCGCUGGGGCUUUGGGAAGGUUACGACCUUAGCGUAGCUUUUGUGGCAUGCCACGGCUUGUCAACAAUUGCAGUGCCACAGGGUUGUGAUGGUGUUCAGGUUGUGGUGUUUCCCAUGGACCCCAUAUGUUAUUCGACAUAACUCAUAGUGACCGACAGAUAGGGAACGU
ensembl:lncRNA